rnacentral:rRNA from 1 species
CAGUCGCCGCGGGAAUACGAAGGGGGCUAGCGUUGUUCGGAAUUACUGGGCGUAAAGCGCACGUAGGCGGAUAUUUAAGUCAGGGGUGAAAUCCAAGAGCUCAACUCUGGAACUGCCUUUGAUACUGGGUAUCUUGAGUAUGGAAGAGGUAAGUGGAAUUCCGAGUGUAGAGGUGAAAUUCGUAGAUAUUCGGAGGAACACCAGUGGCGAAGGCGGCUUACUGGUCCAUUACUGACGCUGAGGUGCGAAAGCGUGGGGAGCAAACAGGAUUAGAUACCCCAGUAGUCCCUGUCUCUUAUAC